GAGGUGGGCGGAUCACCUGAGGUCAGGAGUUCAAGACCAGACUGGCCAACAUGGUGAAACCCCAUCUCCACUAAAAAUACAAUAGCUGGGUGUGGUGGCAUGCGCCUGUAGUCCCAGCUACUCAGGAGGCUGAGGCAGGAGAAUCACUUGAACGCAUCACACCUGUAAUCCCAGCACUCGAGAUCGUGCCACUGCACUCCAGCCUGGGCGACAGAGCAAGAUUCCAUCUCAAAAAAAAAAAAAAUUAAUUAAGAAAAGAAGAAAGGUCCCAAUUCAACAAUCAAAGUGUCUACCUUUAGAAAUUAGAAAAACAAGAGCUAACAAGCCCAAAGCAAGGAGAGGAAGGAAAUAACAAAAAGAUAAAGAUAAAUUAAUAAAAUUCGAAACGGUAAAAUGAGGGAAAAAUAAACCAAAAAUCUGGUUAUUUGAAAAGAUUAAUAAGAUUAAUAAACUUCUUGUCAGACUGACAGAGGAGAAUAAAAGAGGAU
rnacentral:lncRNA from 1 species